CAGGGUCUCCCAACCUUCUGAAAGGUACAUGGGUAUACUUACAGAGGAAAUAAAGAAAAUAUUCCUUAUGGGAGAUAGGGGUCAUGAUGAUGAUCCUAAUAUCAUUGACGAGGCGAUGUUUGACAUCGAUUUCGAGAAAUGAUUAGAUGCGAUGAAGUCAGAAAUUGACUCAAAGUGAAUUCAAGGGUAGCAAGUUUAUACUUUUUUAUCUCAAAAUAG
rnacentral:lncRNA from 1 species